rnacentral:rRNA from 1 species
AUAACGGUCCUAAGGUAGCGAAAUUCCUUGUCAGGUAAGUUCUGACCCGCACGAAUGGCGUAACGACUUGAGAGCUGUCUCAACAACAUACCCGGCGAAAUUGAAGUACUGGUAAAGAUGCCAGUUACCCGUGAUAAGACGGAAAGACCCCAUGGAGCUUUACUGUAACUUGAUAUUGAAUUUUUGUAUUACAUGUACAGGAUAGGUGGGAGACAGAGAACUAAUGCCGCCAGGUGUUAGGGAGUCGAUGUUGGGAUACCACUCUUGUAAUAUGAAGGUUCUAACCUGCACCCGUGAAUCCGGGUGGGGGACACUGUCAGGUGGACAGUUUGACUGGGGCGGUCGCCUCCUAAAAGGUAACGGAGGCGUUCAAAGGUUGGUUCAGCACGGACGGAAAUCGUGCAACGAGUGCAAACGCAUAAACCAGCCUAACUGCGAGACCGACAAGUCGAGCAGUAACGAAAGUUGGAGUUAGUGAUCCGGCGGUAUGAGAGUGGAAUUGCCGUCGCUCAACGGAUAAAAGCUACCCUGGGGAUAACAGGCUGAUCUCCCCCAAGAGUCCACAUCGACGGGGAGGUUUGGCACCUCGAUGUCGGCUCAUCGCAUCCUGGGGCUGAAGUCGGUUCCAAGGGUUGGGCUGUUCGCCCAUUAAAGCGGUACGCGAGCUGGGUUCAGAACGUCGCGAGACAGUUCGGUCCCUAUCUAUCACGGGCGUAGGAAAUUUGAGGAGAGCUGACCUUAGUACGAGAGGACCGGGUUGGACGUACCGCUGGUGCACCUGUUGUUCUGCCAAGGGCAUAGCAGGGUAGCUAAGUACGGACGGGAUAAACGCUGAAGGCAUCUAAGCGUGAAGCCCCCUUCGAGAUAAGAUUUCCCAUAGCGUAGGCUAGUAAGGACCCAUGAAGACUACAUGGUUGAUAGGCCGGAGGUGGAAGUGCAGUAAUGUAUGUAGCUGACCGGUACUAAUAGUCCGAGGGCUUGACCAA